GCUUUUUAUCAUGUACUUUUGAGCUUCGUCCUGGUGUUAUCAGAAAUCAGUACUUUAGACCAAGAAAAACUAUCUGCACUUGAUGACCUAGAGAAAUCAUUASAGAACCAGCAAUCAAAUAACAGAUCUCACGUGUGCUCGUAUCAAGAACCACACAAACAAUGGCAAGUAAAGACAGUCUUCAGACCAGUACUGACGCCGUAUCGAACGCCAUGUUUAAAAAGAAAAAGGCUUUCUUCAARAACGCGGAAGUUCUGCUUUCGUUACAGACUAGAAUUCAAACCAGUAAAAAGAGGAACCAUCAAAACAGUUUUUCGAAUUAGAAAAAGGUGCUGCAAAGGAUGGAAAGGCAAACUAUGUGCAGAAAGAAGCGAUGCCAACAUCUUACAACAAAGAGAGAUACGUCAAUCAAAACCUGGUCAGUGUCCAGAUAUUGCCACCACGAACCAAUACAAUAGCAGCUGUAACAGUGAAUGUAACAAUGAUUUUGACUGUCCGUCGUCCAUGAAAUGU